UACGGAGGGUGCAAACGUUUGUCCGGAAUCACUGGGCGUAAAGAGCAUGUAGGUGGUUUGGUAAGUGAGCGAUUAAAUACCGAUGCUUAACAUCGGACCUGUUGCUUAUACUGCCUGACUUGAGAAUGACAGGGGCAAGCGGAACUUUUAGGUGUAGGAGUGAAAUCCGUAGAUAUCUAAAGGAACACCAAUGGCGAAGGCAGCUUGCUGGGUUUUUUUCUGACACUGAGAUGCGAAAGCGUGGGGGAGCAAACGGG
rnacentral:rRNA from 1 species